CCCCGCCGCAGGGCUGGGCCGGUCCGGUCUCCCCCCCUCCGUGAGGUGGCGGCGCUGCAGCCGGGAGCCCCCGGCGCUCGGAGCCGCCACCCGGCCCAGCUCUUUAUUCAAGGUGUGUGCAGCUGCUGGAAUCGUUAAUAAACACAAACUGAUCAGUGA